rnacentral:rRNA from 1 species
AGCGAACGCUGGCGGCAGGCCUAACACAUGCAAGUCGAACGAAGUCUUCGGACUUAGUGGCGGACGGGUGAGUAACACGUGGGAACGUGCCUUUAGGUUCGGAAUAACUCAGGGAAACUUGUGCUAAUACCGAAUGUGCCCUUCGGGGGAAAGAUUUAUCGCCUUUAGAGCGGCCCGCGUCUGAUUAGCUCGUUGGUGGGGUAAUGGCCCACCAAGGCUACGAUCAGUAGCUGGUCUGAGAGUAUGACCAGCCACAUUGGGACUGAGACACGGCCCAAACUCCUACGGGAGGCAGCAGUGGGGAAUCUUGCGCAAUGGGCGAAAGCCUGACGCAGCCAUGCCGCGUGGAUGAUGAAGGUCUUAGGAUUGUAAAAUCCUUUCACCGGUGAAGAUAAUGACUGUAGCCGGAGAAGAAGCCCCGGCUAACUUCGUGCCAGCCGCCGCGGUAC